UACGUAGGGGGCAAGCGUUGUCCGGAAUCAUUGGGCGUAAAGAGCUCGUAGGCGGCUCAGUAAGUCGGGUGUGAAACCUCCAGGCUCAACCUGGAGACGCCACCCGAUACUGCUGUGGCUAGAGUCCAGUAGGGGAGUGUGGAAUUCCCGGUGUAGCGGUGAAAUGCGCAGAUAUCAGGAGGAACACCGAUGGCGAAGGCAGGUCUCUGGGCAUUAACUGACGCUGAGGAGCGAAAGCAUGGGGAGCGAACAGG
rnacentral:rRNA from 1 species